GGAGUAAAAGUCGUAACAAGGUUUCCGUAGGUGAACCUGCGGAAGGAUCAUUAUUGUGUAACCGAGGUGCGAGGGCUGUCGCUGACCCGAAAGGUCGUGCACGCCCGAGUGCCCUCACACACAUCCAUCUCACCCCUAUGUGCACCACCGCGUGGGUCCCCCUUUGGCUUGUUCGGAGGGGGGCUUACGUUUUCACACAAACUUUGUAUGCAGUGUAGAAUGUAUUUUUUGUUUUUGCGAUCACGCAAUCAAUACAACUUUCAACAACGGAUCUCUUGGCUCUC
rnacentral:misc_RNA from 1 species